rnacentral:lncRNA from 1 species
CUGCUGGUCACUUUUUUUUUUUCCCUCCCCCGUAUUAAAACCCAGCAGCAAGAGCAAUGCAAGGCAGCAUGGGGAGAGCGGGCCAGGUUACAGCUCGCGGAGCAGGAUCAAGUGCACAUUUGAAAGAGAGGGACAGACGCAGACCUGGAUCUUGGAGACUUUACAGCAGAUUCAGCUUUGUACCCCACAGGACCAGGGGAACAUCUGCCCGUGCGGAGCGAGCGUCUGGCCCCGUAGCCGUGCUCUGGCACCACGUCCAGGUUAGCAGUAACACCUGCAGAGAAAGACUAAUUGCUUCUUAAAAAAUAGACUCAAAUCCAGGCAGAGGUGGCAGAUGCGCACCAAGAAGCCUGCCGCUGAGAGCAGAGGGGCUAUUUCGGAAGAGUCAUUCCUCCUCAAGGAACGAUCGCACACCAUGCUCUUUCAACCCAAGUGCAAACUUUCUGCAAAUGGGGAAGUCUGGGUUCCGGAUUGAGCUGCGAGAGCUGAGUAGCAGUUUCCCCGUAGGUGUCCAUACUCCUCCUUGAACAAAACCAAGGUUCAGUCCAGGCCAUCGAGAUACCAAGUUCCUUGCUUGCUGCUCUCUGUGCUCCGUGGAGGC